UUGAAGGCAGCUUGGGCUGUUUCUUCACAAAAAACACACAUAUACGCCUAUACACAGAAGGAGAUGCCUGGAAGAGAGGGCUGCGCAGCUGUGAUUUCUUCUUAACAAAUCCAAGCAGAUACAAACACACAUAUAGGGAUACACUACAGAAUAGAUAGGGAAGAGACGCCUGUAAAAGCUGAGACCGGAGGACACCCAAAUACCCCUCCCAGCGUUCUGCCUUUUCAACCAUACAAUCCCUCGCCGGAAAAUCAAUCACACGGCAACAAACACACACUCACGACGAGCUUUCACCUCUCUUCUAAACUAAAAUGAAACAAAAAUAGCAGGAGAAGGGAAUUGAAAUCGAAAUAGAAAAGGGGAAACAGGAACGGGAAAACAUGAGAGUUGAAAAACAGUGAGAACAGAGGGAUCGAACGGACUUGUUUCAUUCUCAUUUCGAGUUCGAAUCUCUUCGAUUUUCAUGUCGAUUUCUGGUUUGCUUCUGAUUUUCAGUCGGGUCCCUAUCUGAGGUGAGCGAGGAUGUCGUUGACAGUAUCGUUGAGGUUUCCGUUCGAGAUUGUUGCGUCGAGGUCUCUGUUCCAAACGAUUCCGGAUCCAAGUGCUAUUUGAUCUCAAGGUACCACAAGUAUCUCUGUACCAACUAGGAACUGCUCCUGUGUUAAGCUAUGUACAUGUUCAUCUUCUGGAUAGUGAAGGAAGAGAUGUCGACAAAUUGUUAGCCCUUUCUGACAGCCUUUCUGUGUAAUUCAACAAGAUCUUUGCAAGGCGUGCGAAAUGUGACAGUGUUCUAUUAUUGGAGUAGAACUGGCUGUUGCAAGAUGGCUUGUUUCCCUGAAUGAAUAUGUUCAGAAAUGGAAGAACUCGUCAAAUCUUUCAGCAUUGAGAGGGGAAAGAAGAAAAAAUCAUGGAAUUUGAUUCCAGGGAAUGAAGCGAUAAACCUAAUUCAUGUGUCCGGAACACGGUGGUGAAAGCGGAAAAUUCCAUCCAUCGCAAGAGAAACUCUUCACUUCUGUGAUACUUGAAAAAUGAAUCUGCUUAAACCAAUUCGCGGUAUGUGGAUGUGUCAAAUCCAGCAUCCCUACAUCAAAUGCUGUAUUGGGCACCAUAUACGGUUCCCAUUCGUCUUUCACUAAGAUAUCCAACUUCAAACUCGGCCAUUACAUGAAGAUCCCACCUCGAUCAAGGUUCUUGGUUCAGUUUUUAGGAACAAUAAUUUCCGGAACUAUCAACAUAUCCUCAUAGCCUCUACGACAACAAACCCAAUUGUAGACAUAAAACUUUACUAAAGUAGCGGCCACAGAGAGUAUAACCGGAGAAGGGAACGUGAUCAAACUGAGGUAAUGAAUGCUUUUAUUUUGUUUUAACUAA